CUAAUACAUGCAAGUCGAGCGGAACUGGGGGAGCUUGCUCCUUCCGGUUUAGCGGCGGACGGGUGAGUAACACGUGGGCAACCUGCCCUGCAGAUCGGGAUAACUCCGGGAAACCGGUGCUAAUACCGAAUAGUUUGGCGCCUCUCCUGAGGCGCUACGGAAAGACGGUUUCGGCUGUCACUCUGAAAAAAAGAGUCCAGUGAUGAUGGCAAAGAGGCCACACCCGUUCCCAUCCCGAACACGGAAGUUA
rnacentral:ncRNA from 1 species